AUUGAACGCUGGCGGCAUGCCUAACACAUGCAAGUCGAGCGGAGCGGCGGACGGGUGAGUAAUGCCUAGGAAUCUUCCUGGUAGUGUGGGAUAACGUCCGGAAACGGGCGCUAAUACCGCAUACUCUCAGAUGAGCCUAUGUCGGAUUAGCUAGUUGGUGGGGUAAAGGCCUACCAAGGCGACGAUCCGUAACUGGUCGGAGAGGAUGAUCAGUCACACUGGAACGGAGACACGGUACAGAGUGAUACGGGAGGCAGCAGUAGGGAAUAGUGGGCAAUGGGCGAAAGCCAGAUGCAGACAUGCCGCGUGUGUGAAGCAGGUAUUCGGAGUGUAAAACACAUUAAGUUGGGAGGCGUUACCAACAGAAUAAGCACCGGCUAACUUCGUGCCAGCAGCCGCGGUAAUUC
rnacentral:rRNA from 1 species